AAACUCUUUGAUUAGCACCCUUGGAGAAGCGGAAUGAGUUUUCACGGUGUUCAUGGUGCAUGGUGCUCGUUGAGAGGAAGAAAUAAAUUGACACCCGUUUGAAACUC